rnacentral:rRNA from 1 species
UGAGUAACACGUGGACAAUCUCGCCCCCCGGCCCGGGAUAGCCCAGGGAAACCUGGAUUAAUACCGGAUGAGACGGGACCCGCGAUCGGACGGGAUCCGGGAAAGGCGCUGCGGCGCCGCCGGGGGAUGAGUCUGCGUCCCAUUAGCUAGACGGUGGGUAACGGCCCACCGUGGCGACGAUGGGUAGCCGGCCUGAGAGGGUGGACGGCCACAUUGGAACUGAGACACGGUCCAGACUCCUACGGGAGGCAGCAGCUAAGAAUCUUCCGCAAUGGGCGAAAGCCUGACGGAGCGGAACCGCCGCGUGAACGAAGAAGGCCGUGAGGUUGUAAAGUUCGUUUUCGGGAGGGGGAACAACCGUGGCAGGGAAUGGCCGCGGGAUGACGUGAAUCCCGGAAUAAGCCCCGGCUAACUACGUGCCAGCCGCCGC